GCGGGAACAGAGAUGUGAAGACAUUGCCCAAGGCACACGGUGAAUAAAAAUAGGAGAGUCUGAAUUUCAACCCUGGUCUGUCUGACACAAAUGCCCAGGUUCCAACUACUCUGCUAUGCUGCUAUCUCUCUUGGAUUUCUAUUCUUCAGUGAGCUCCCUCAUUGGGGAAACUGAAAAGUAACUACUGUAAUGAGAAGUUUACAUCAGCAACUGUGUUAUCUUUUCCUCCCCCUUGACAACCACUGAUUUGCUUGCCAUCAUUAGAGAUUAGUUUUCAAGUUCUACAGCUGUGCUGUCUCUAGCCUCAUAAGCUCGUGAACAUGAGUUGUGGCUGAUCUGGAUUAAGAUGUAACACAUGGG
rnacentral:lncRNA from 1 species